UCCAGGAUUUUUAUAUUGAUGACCUAUGCUCAGGAUAGGCUACCCCUAGGGCAGGGAUGGGCCAACCUGCGGCUCUCCAGCUGUUGCAAAACUACAACACCCAGCAUGCUCAGACUACCUACAGCUUUUGGCCUAAAGCAAGGCAUGGUGGGA